rnacentral:tRNA from 1 species
AGAAAUUUAGGUUACCAUUAAACCAAAGGCCUUCAAAGCCUUAAACGGGACACUAUCCCAAUUUCUG